CAUGUCCUUUUGAAUAUUAAUUUAAGGUCUGAUCUGCUCAGUGAAUUUUAAAUAGCCGCAGUAUUUUAACUGUGCAAAGGUAGCAUAAUAAUUAGUUUCUUAAUUAGGAACUGGUAUGAAUGAUUGGACAAGAAAAUUUCUGUCUCUUUUUUAAUAUUUUUGAAUUUUAUUUUUAAGUGAAAAAGCUUAAAUAGUUAUGAAAGACGAGAAGACCCUAUAGAGUUUAAUAGAAUAAUUCAAUUUAACAUUAGAAUUAAUUUUUGAUUAUAUUUUAUUUAGUUGGGGUGAUUUAAAGAUAAAAUAAAUUCUUUAAAAUAAAAAUUGGUGAUAUCUAAAUUUUAAAUCUAUAUUUAAUAAAUAUAAAAUAAAUUACCUUAGGGAUAACAGCGUAAUUUUUCUUAAAAGUUCUUAUUGAAAGAAAAGUUUGCGACCUCGAUGUUGGAUUAAAAUUAAUUUUUGGUGCAAUAACUUAAAAAUUAGGUCUGUUCGACCUUUAAAAUUUUACAUGAUCUGAGUUUAAACCGGUGUGAGCCAGGUUGGAUUCUAUCUUUAGAUUGUUAAUAUAUUUUAGUACGAAAGGACCAAAUAUAUAUUAAAUUAAUU
rnacentral:rRNA from 1 species